CUACGGGGGGCUGCAGUCGAGAAUCUUCCGCAAUGGACGAAAGUCUGACGGAGCGACGCCGCGUGCGGGAUGAAGGCCUUCGGGUUGUAAACCGCUGUCAGUGGGGAGGAAAUGCAUCAGGGUUCUCCCUGGUGUUUGACCGAUCCGCAGAGGAAGCGCAGGCUAAGUUCGUGCCAGCAGCCGCGGUAACACGAACUGCGCGAACGUUAUUCGGAAUCACUGGGCUUAAAGAGUUCGUAGGCGGCCUUUCAAGUCGGGUGUGAAAUCCCUCGGCUCAACCGAGGAAUUGCGCCUGAUACUGUUGGGCUUGAGGGGGAUAGGGGUGAGCGGAACUGAUGGUGGAGCGGUGAAAUGCGUUGAUAUCAUCAGGAACACCGGUGGCGAAGGCGGCUCACCGGAUCUCUUCUGACGCUGAGGAACGAAAGCUAGGGGAGCGAACGGGAUUAGAUACCCGUGUAGUC
rnacentral:rRNA from 1 species